CUAAAGUAUGUUCAGUUCAGAACUAAUUCCUUCUCAUAUUAAAGUGACGAAUGCGCCACGUGCAAGACAACUCUCGGUGCCAGUUGUACCCCACGGAUUCUACACUGCACGAUACUUUGCAUGAUUGAGCAGACUGACCAGACCAGACCGAAAAUACCGACCGGGACAUUACCAGGCAUCGCAACCACCCGCCACAUGUUCGAACAAUAGUUCCACUCGCCCUUGAACGAUCGGGAUUUACGGGAGCUCAAUAAUCUGAAGCUGGGAAAAGGC
rnacentral:lncRNA from 1 species